rnacentral:rRNA from 1 species
GACGAACGCUGGCGGCGUGCUUAACACAUGCAAGUCGAACGGUGAAGCGCCUUCCUUUUUGGUGGGUGUGGAUGAGUGGCGCACGGGUGAGUAACACGUGAGUAACCUGCCCCCUUCUUCUGGAUAACCGCAUGAAAGUGUGGCUAAUACGGGAUAUUCUGGGUCUGUCGCAUGAUGGGUCUGGGAAAGAUAUUGUUUCGGUGGGGGAUGGGCUCGCGGCCUAUCAGCUUGUUGGUGGGGUGAUGGCCUACCAAGGCGGUGACGGGUAGCCGGCCUGAGAGGGUGGACGGUCACACUGGGACUGAGACACGGCCCAGACUCCUACGGGAGGCAGCAGUGGGGAAUAUUGCACAAUGGGCGCAAGCAUGAUGCAGCGACGCCGCGUGAGGGAUGGAGGCCUUCGGGUUGUGAACCUCUUUCGCCAGUGAAGCAGGCCUGCCUCGUUUGUGGGUGGGUUGACGGUAGCUGGAUAAGAAGCGCCGGCUAAGUACGUG